rnacentral:rRNA from 1 species
CGGGUUGUAAAGCACUUUCAGUAGGGAGGAAGGUAGUGUAGUUAACACCUGCAUUAUUUGACGUUACCUACACGAAGAAGCACCGGCUAACUCCGUGCCAGCAGCCGCGGUAAUACGGAGGGUGCGAGCGUUAAUCGGAAUUACUGGGCGUAAAGCGCAUGCAGGCGGCCUCGUUAAGUCAGAUGUGAAAGACCCGGGGCGUUAACCUCGGAAUUGCAUUUGUAAACUAGGCAGGCUAGAGUCUUGUAGAGGGGGGUAGGAAGUUUCAGGUGUAGCGGUGAAAUAGCGUAGAGAUCUGAAGGAAUACCAGUGGCGAAGGCGGCCCCCUCGGACAAAGACUGACGCUCAGAUGCGAAAGCGUGGGGAGCAAACAGGAUUAGAUACCCUGGUAG